AACGAACGCUGGCGGCAUGCCUAACACAUGCAAGUCGAACGAGACCUUCGGGUCUAGUGGCGCACGGGUGCGUAACGCGUGGGAACCUGCCCUUAGGUUCGGAAUAACUCCCCGAAAGGGGUGCUAAUACCGGAUAAUGUCUUCGGACCAAAGAUUUAUUGCCUUUGGAUGGGCCCGCGUUGGAUUAGCUAGUUGGUAGGGUAAAAGCAUACCAAGGCGACGAUGCAUAGCUGGUUUGAGAGGAUGAUCAGCCACACUGGGACUGAGACACGGCACAGAAUCCUACGGGAGGGAGCAGAGGGGAAUAUUGGAAAAUGGGCGAAAGCCUGAACCAGCAAUGCCGCGUGAGUGAUGAAGGCCUUAGGGUAGUAAAGCUCUUUUACCCGGGAUGAUAAUGACAGUACCGGGAGAAUAAGCUCCGGCUAACUCCGUG
rnacentral:rRNA from 1 species